rnacentral:lncRNA from 1 species
GAGCAAUAUAUAUAUUUAAUAGAACUAGGUUGUUGUCUCGUUAUUCCAGCAGCUCCUUCACAGUGACUCGGUGCCAUGACGCUGAGCUAACUUGGAGGCCACCAUGGACGUCUUUUCCCUGGGCCCGGUGACUGCAUGGUGCCUACUCAAUCAGUGAAAGAGUCACAGAACCCUUGCGCUUGGAAAAGGGCCUUCAGCUCAAGUCCAAGCGUCAGCUAACACCACCAGGCCCACCACAAAACCACGGCCCUUAGCGCCAAGUCCACGCAUUUCUUUAAUAGCUCCAGGCCUGGGACUCCAGCAGUGCCCUGGGCAGCCGGUUCCACCCUUUGCAUGAAGAAAUUCUUCCUGACAUCCCAUCCUGUGAGUCCACCUGUGGUAGGUGCGCCCAGGUAGAAGAACUGCUCAGCCUCCUGGCAGAGCUUCGGGAGGAGGUGGGCAGGCUGAGGAGCACCAGGGAGUCGGAGAAGGUUGAACUGUACUGUGCCAGCCCUGGGACAGAUGCGUCAGGCAGACACAGCAGAGGAAAUGGAGGAUCCCCUACCCUCUGGCCAUCAGGCAGAAGGAGUGCAUCUCAGUGACGAAGGGAUGGAAGUUUAGAUCUGCUCGGGGCAGCAGGCGGACCCCUCCUUGCCUACCUCACCUUCCUUUCAGGUGCCCUGAAACAACAGACUCUGGAAGUAAUGGACACACAAACGAUGAUGUGCAUGAAGGUCCAUCCAGGUUGGAGGGGUUUUCUAGGGCAAGUCAGCCUUCCCCAGUAUCACGACCACCUCCAUCAAGAAGAAGAGAAGGGUUACUGUCAUAAGUGACUCCCUUCUGAGCAGAACAGAGGGCCGCAUAUGCCGGCCUGACCCAACCCAUGGAGAAGUCUGCUGUCUCCCAGGAGAUCAGGGUAAAAGGUGUUUCUGGAGAGCUCACUCGCCCCGUAAGGCCCUCUGAGCAUCAUCCAUUAUUGUUCUGUCCCCGGGGUUUUUCGGGGCCCGGUGGCAGUGCCGUCCCCUCUGUGUCCCCCUUCGCGCAGGUGACACCUCGGUGCUGGCCGGGCUGUACGGCCCCGCGGAGGUGCGGGGCUCAAAGGAGAGCCCCGAGAGGGCGACGCUGGAGGUGCUGCUGCGCCCCAAGUUGUGGCUGCCAGGCCCUUGGUGACGUAGUGGACGUCGAUGUUGUCACCUGUUGUCACCCUGUGCCCCCCCCUCACCGGCGUGCAGCCCCCACUUGCAAAAGAGGCUGCGCUGGGGGAAGCCGCUGGCCCCCACCAGCUGCCUGAUGACGUGCAGCUCCGCCAUGCCCUGCGGGGACACGGGGGGGGGGGGACAUGGGGACACACACACACGGUGUCACCCCACCCCAGAGGGGGGGUCCAUGUCCCCCCCCAGGGGUUUCUGCACCCCCUCCAAGGAGCUCCCCACCCCCUUGCACUGCACAUCCCAAGCCCAUCGCAGCCCCCCCCACCCUCUUGUUCCCCCAAUUGCCCCGUCUGA